rnacentral:rRNA from 1 species
UACGGGGGGAGCAAGCGUUGUUCGGAUUUACUGGGCGUAAAGGGCGCGUAGGCGGCCUCUGCAAGUCGACUGUGAAAUCUCCGGGCUUAACCCGGAAAGGUCAGCCGAUACUGCAGGGCUAGAGUGCAGAAGGGGCAACUGGAAUUCUCGGUGUAGCGGUGAAAUGCGCAGAUAUCAGGAGGAACACCGGUGGCGAAGGCGGUUCUCUGGGCCUGUACUGACGCUGAGGAACGAAAGCGUGGGGAGCGAACAGG